rnacentral:rRNA from 1 species
GACGAACGCUGGCGGCGUGCUUAACACAUGCAAGUCGAACGGAAAGGCCCUGCUUUUGUGGGGUGCUCGAGUGGCGAACGGGUGAGUAACACGUGAGUAACCUGCCCUUGACUUUGGGAUAACUUCAGGAAACUGGGGCUCAUACCGGAUAGGAGCUCCUGCUGCAUGGUGGGGGUUGGAAAGUUUCGGCGGUUGGGGAUGGACUCGCGGCUUAUCAGCUUGUUGGUGGGGUAGUGGCUUACCAAGGCUUUGACGGGUAGCCGGCCUGAGAGGGUGACCGGCCACAUUGGGACUGAGAUACGGACCAGACUCCUACGGGAGGCAGCAGUGGGGAAUAUUGCACAAUGGGCGGAAGCCUGAUGCAGCAACGCCGCGUGCGGGAUGACGGCCUUCGGGUUGUAAACCGCUUUCGCCGGUGACGAAGCGUGAGUGACGGUAAUGGGUAAAGAAGCACCGGCUAACUACGUG